UGAGUCGGUCAGACGGCCGCGUCGAGACCGUGCCGGUAUGCCGGUGCGGGACUCGCCGAGGAACGUCCGGGCUCCACAGGGCAAGGUGGUGGCUAACGGCCACCCGGGGCGACCCGCGGGACAGUGCCACAGAAAUCAGACCGCCUCCGGCGCGAGCCGGGGUAAGGGUGAAACGGUGGUGUAAGAGACCACCAGCGCACCGGGUGACCGGUGCGGCUAGGUAAACCCCACCUGGAGCAAGGCCAGACAGCACGCGUUCGAGGGCGGCCCGCCCGAGCGUGCGGGUAGGCCGCUAGAGGUGUGCGGCAACGCACACCCGAGAUGGAUGGCCGUCCCCGUCGCACUGCCGGUAACGGCGCGGCGGGACAGGACCCGGCGUAUCGACCGACUCAUCCA
rnacentral:RNase_P_RNA from 1 species